UACGUAGGGUCCGAGCGUUGUCCGGAAUUACUGGGCGUAAAGAGCUCGUAGGCGGUCUGUCGCGUCUGCCGUGAAAACUCAGGGCUUAACCCUGAGCUUGCAGUGGGUACGGGCAGACUAGAGUGCGGUAGGGGAGACUGGAAUUCCUGGUGUAGCGGUGAAAUGCGCAGAUAUCAGGAGGAACACCGGUGGCGAAGGCGGGUCUCUGGGCCGUAACUGACGCUGAGGAGCGAAAGCAUGGGGAGCGAACAGG
rnacentral:rRNA from 1 species